GCGUUCGUAGCUCAAUUGGAUAGAGCAUCUGACUACGGAUCAGAAGGUUGUGGGUUCAAGUCCCGCCGAGCGCA
rnacentral:tRNA from 1 species